rnacentral:rRNA from 1 species
CACGUAGUUAGCCGGCGCUUCUUAUCCAGCUACCGUCAACCCGCCCACAAAAGAGGCGGGCCUGCUUCACUGGCGAAAGAGGUUUACAACCCGAAGGCCUCCAUCCCUCACGCGGCGUCGCUGCAUCAGGCUUGCGCCCAUUGUGCAAUAUUCCCCACUGCUGCCUCCCGUAGGAGUCUGGGCCGUGUCUCAGUCCCAGUGUGACCGUCCACCCUCUCAGGCCGGCUACCCGUCACCGCCUUGGUAGGCCAUCACCCCACAACAAGCUGAUAGGCCGCGAGCCCAUCCCCCACGAAGCAAUAUCCUUUCCCACACCCACCAUGCAGCAGGCGCAGAAUAUCCCGUAUUACGCCACACUUUCAUGCGGUUAUCCAGAAGAAGGGGCAGGUUACUCACGUGUUACUCACCGUUCGCCACUCAUCCAGACCAGACAAAACCGGUCCUUCACCGUUCGACUGCAUGUGUAAGCACGCCGCAGCGUCUC